UUGUUUGUGUAUCAAUUGUAGAUUUUGGGUUUGCAGUUAUUCUGAAGUUUUGAUAUAAGAGUUUAUAUGUAUGUGAGAUUGUUUUAAGUUGUUGUUCUCUUAAUUGCAAGUUCAUCUCCAGUGUCCUGCAUUUGUACCCACCUCUUCUCAUGAUUUCUGACUUUGGUGGUAUAACUGCGCAUGGAUGAUUUCGUAUCUUUACUGUAUAUAUACCUUUACUGGUGAGCCUUGUCAUUUGUGGAAUUGUUGCCUGUUGCUGUCUUUUCUUUCCUGCCUAGAGAAGUUUCUUUAGUAUUUGUUGUAGGGCUGGUUUAGUGUUGCUGAAUUCUCUCAGCUUUUGCUUAUCUGAGAAGGUUUUGAUUUCUCCUUCAAAUCUGAAUGAGAGCCUUGCUGGGUAAAGUCAUCUUGGUUGGAGGAUUUUUCCUUUCAUCAUGUUAAGUAUAUCAUGCCACUCCCUUCUGGCCUACAGAGUUUCUGCUGAAAAAUCUGCCAAUAACCUUAUUGGGGUUCCCUUGUAUGUUACUUGUUUCUUUUCCCUAGCUGCUUUCAAGAUUUUCUCUUUGUCUUUAAUUUUGGUCAGUUUGAUCAAUAUGUGUCUUGGUGUAUUCCUCCUUGGGUUUAUUUUAUAUGGUACUCGUUGUGCUUCCUGGACUUGAGUGAGUGGUUGCUUUCCCAUGUUAGGGAAGUUUUUGGCUAUUAUCUCUUGGAAUAUUUUUUUCUGUCCCCUUCUCUCUCUCUCUCUUCUCCUUCUGGCACCCCUAUAGUAUGGAUGUUGAUGUGUUUAACGUUGUCCCAGAGUUCUCUGAGACUCUCUUCAUUUGUUUUCAAUCUUUUUUCUCUUUUCUGUUCUGCAUCCGUAAUUUCCACUAAUCUGUCCUCCACCUCGCUUAUUCGUUCUUCUGCCUCCUGUAUUCUGCUGUUAGCUGCUUCUAGUGAAUUUUUUAUUUCAGUUAUUGUAUUUUGCAUCUCUUCUUGUUUAAGUUUUAUAUCUUGUAUCUCUUUGGUCAGUGUUUCCUGUAAGUUAUCCAUCUUUGCCUCCAGUUUAUUUCCAAUGUCUUGCAUCAUCUUCAGCAUCAACAGUCUAAAGUCUUUUUCCUGGAGGCUGAGAAUCUCCUCAUGGCUUAGCUGUUUUUCUGGGGUUUUUCCUUUCUCCCUCAUCUGAGUUAUAGUUCUCUGUCUUUUCAUUUUUAUAGGUUUUUGGUGUGGUGACCUUUUUACAGAUAAUAGAGUUGUAGCCUCUCUUACUUCUGGUGUCUGCCCCCCUUGUGGCUGAAGUCAAUUCCACAUGUCAAUGAAAUUAUUUGAUGUUGGUGUCUCAUUGUAUGGCUGACUUCACUUAGCAUGAUAAUUUCUAGGUCCAUCCAUGUUGCUAAAAAGGCUGGUAUUUCGUUCUUUUUAAUGGCUGAGUAAUAUUCCAUUGUGUAUAUGUACCACUUCUUCUAGAUCCACUCCUCUGUCGAUGGACAUUUAGGUUGGUUCCAAGUCUUGGCUAUUGAAAAUAGUGCUGCAAAGAACAUUAGAGUACAUGUGUCUUUGUGAGUCGUGGUUUCUCUGGAUAGAUGCCCAGGAGUGGGAUUGCUGGAUCAAAUGGUAGUUUUAUUUUUAGUUUCUGAGGAAUCUCUAUACUGUUUUCCACAGUGGUUGCACCAAUU
rnacentral:lncRNA from 1 species